AAGGUCGCUGGUUCGAUUCCAGCAUGAGGCACCGAAAAUUUUUUGCCACUCAUGAUCCUUUUUUGGCUUCGUGCCAGAAGCCU
rnacentral:miRNA from 1 species